rnacentral:other from 16 species
CAUGAACUGCUGUGUUGGUGAAGGCCUUUUCUAGUGCUCUGAUCUGACUCUCUUUCGACUUGGGGAGGCUGUCGUGACGGUGACGUAAACCGGCCUUGUAGCCGGAAACGAAGCCCCACUUUGACUCCCCUUCUGGUUAACUCCAGGUCGACCACAAUCGGUCACACGGCAUGGUGGUUCACCC